UACGAAGGGGGCUAGCGUUGUUCGGAAUCACUGGGCGUAAAGCGCACGCAGGCGGCUCGAUAAGUCAGGGGUGAAAUCCCGGAGCUCAACUUCGGAAUUGCCUUUGAUACUGUCUGUCUUGAGUCCGGGAGAGGUGAGUGGAAUUCCUAGUGUAGAGGUGAAAUUCGUAGAUAUUGGCAAGAACACCAGUGGCGAAGGCGGCUUACUGGUCCGGUUCUGACGCUGAGGCGCGAAAGCGUGGGGAGCAAACAGG
rnacentral:rRNA from 1 species